rnacentral:rRNA from 1 species
CCUACGGUGGCAGCAGUCGAGAAUCAUUCACAAUGGGGGAAACCCUGAUGGUGCGACACCGCGUGAACGAGGAAGGUCUUCGGAUCGUAAAGUUCUGUUGAAGGGGAAAAAGAGCGGAGAGAGGAAAUGGUCUCCGAUUGAUAUUACCCUUCGAGGAAGUCACGGCUAAAUACGUGCCAGCAGCCGCGGUAAUACGUAGGUGGCGAGCGUUAUCCGGCAUGAUUGGGCGUAAAGGGUGCGUAGGCGGCCUGCUAAGUCUGGAGUGAAAGGUACCGGCUCAACCGGUACAGGCUCUGGAAACUGGCGGGCUAGAGAGCAGGAGAGGGCGGUGGAACUCCAUGUGUAGCGGUAAAAUGCGUAGAUAUAUGGAAGAACACCAGUGGCGAAGGCGGCCGCCUGGCCUGUUACUGACGCUGAGGCACGAAAGCGUGGGGAGCAAAUAGGAUUAGAUACCCGAGUAGUC